GGAUCUGACGGAGCUCGCCGCGUGAGCGAUGAAGGCCUUCGGGUCGUAAAGCUCUGUUGUUAGGGAAGAACAAGUACCAGAGUAACUGCUCGUACCUUGACGGUACCUAACCAGAAAGCCACGGCUAACUACCUGCCAGCAGCCGCGGUAAUACCUAGGUGGCAAGCGUUUUCCGGAAUUAUUGGGCGUAAAGCGCGCGCAGGCGGUUUCUUAAGUCUGAUGUGAAAGCCCACGGCUCAACCGUGGAGGGUCAUUGGAAACUGGGGAACUUGAGUGCAAAAAAAGAAAGCGGAAUUCCACGUGUAGCGGUGAAAUGCGUAAAGAUGUGGAGGAACACCAGUGGCGAAGGCGGCUUUUUGGUCUGUAACUGACGCUGAAGCGCGAAAGCGUGGGGAGCAAACAGGAUUAAAUACCCUGGUAGUCCACGCCGUAAACGAUGAAU
rnacentral:rRNA from 1 species